CGUCAACUGACGAACAAUAUUGUUCUCGAUUUUAGAAUGCAAAAAAUUAUCACCAUUAGUAUUACAAUAGUUUUUAUUUUCUUGCUUUCAGAUUGUCAUGGGAAAAAAGAUUAUCCAGCUGAGCGUUGUUUGAAAAACAACAUGACCGGAUGUACUAUAGUACAUGGCAAGGGUUGGCGAUAUGACCAGUCAAAGAAAAAAUGUCAUGCAACAGCCAUUGCAUGGCAUGACUGCGACGACAAUAAUUUCUGGCAUCUUGCGGCAGAGCAGACAUGCGUCAAGGCCUGUGAAGGUCAAGCUGCAUAUCAAGCAUUCAUGGAUGAAUAUAAUAGAAUAAGCAAAACCGUAGUAAUGUGAUCCGACGAACACAACUACGUACUUUAAUAGGAUAUAAAAUCUCAGAAGUGUUUUAAAGAAAAUAUGAAUGACGUAUCUUUAACUUCAGUGCUUUAAUAAAU